AGCAAUGUGGCAUAGUGGAUAGAGCAUGUGAUUGGGCAUCAGAAAGUCAUGGGUUCUAAUCCCAGCUCUGCCA
rnacentral:tRNA from 1 species